UCAGUGUCUUAAAAGAUAACUGGUAUCUUAGAUAUUACGGAACUUACCACAAGAACAGUUUUGGAUAUUUCGAAAGGUCCACGUUCAGGUUGGAGGUCGAUAUUAUAAAUAUAACCUCCGCUGAUCAUGGUGAGUUUUGCUGCACCUGUGUCUUCUUUACGCUAGACGGUGUAGACUCCUCAACUCGUUGCCAAGAUUUCGAAGUUGUACAUCAAGCUUUAGUGGAACCAAGUGUAGUUCCAGUAGAUGAUAUCGUGGAUAUUUACUGUGUCCCUAGCCUUGCUGGAGUUCCUGACCCAGCGCAAUAUAUAAAAAACAUGACGCUGUUUUGGCAAAAUAAAGAUUACGAUCCGAGCACCUUUUUGUUGUUUGAAAUGGAAGUUGAUUCAACAAAUAGAGCAGGAAGUUAGCCAAGUCUAAGACCGUCCAAACCUGCAGGCAAGGAACAUUGGACUUUGAGCUAUAGCUCAAGGCAACUAGGACCCAACUUGAGAAUCAACAAGGAUCACGCAGUAUUGGGUGUGGACAUCAGGGGCGCCAAUGUCCUAGACUCGGGCUGGUACUGUUGUUGUGCCUUUUACUUUGACUUGGAUGAUGCAACACGUUUCACGUACAGGUGCCACUAUUUAGCAGUUGGCGAAAAAAGAUAUUCAUCUUUCAUAGAAUACUCAAGCAACGGGAGUUCAACCAAGACAGUUGCAGAGAUUCUCAUCUUUGGGUUAACAGUUUUGAUCCUUGAAUCUGCUCGAAUGUUUCAGGGGGAGAGACAAGGCUUGCUUCUUCCUUAAAUGCUACAACACAUCUCAACGUAUUACCUUCUAGCGUUAUGAGUCAUCUUGUAUUUGAAUGGAAAAUAUCUAAGAUCUGAAUAUCACUGGACACACGAUCAAUAAAAUUAACAACAAAAAAAAUCCACUGUAAAUAACAUCUUAAUAUUCUAAAUGUAUCAAAACAAUAAAAUUUGA